rnacentral:rRNA from 1 species
UAGGGAAUCUUCGGCAAUGGGGGGAACCCUGACCGAGCAACGCCGCGUGAGUGAAGAAGGUUUUCGGAUCGUAAAGCUCUGUUGUUAAGGAAGAACGAGUGUGAGAAUGGAAAGUUCAUACUGUGACGGUACUUAACCAGAAAGGGACGGCUAACUACGUGCCAGCAGCCGCGGUAAUACGUAGGUCCCGAGCGUUGUCCGGAUUUAUUGGGCGAAAAGCGAGCGCAGGCGGUUAGAUAAGUCUGAAGUUAAAGGCAGUGGCUCAACCAUGGUAGGCUUUGGAAGCUGUUUAACUUGAGUGCAGAAGGGGAGAGUGGACUUCCAUGUGUAGCGGUGAGAUGCGUAGAUAUAUGGAGAAACACCGGUGGCGAAAGCGGCUCUCUGAUCUGUAACUGACGCAGAGGCUAGAAAGCGUGGGGAGCGAACGGG